GACAGAGGGUGCAAACGUUGCUCGGAAUUACUGGGCGUAAAGGGCGUGUAGGCGGGAAGGCAAGUCGGGCGUGAAAGCCCCAGGCUCAACCUGGGAACUGCACUCGAAACUGCCUUUCUUGAGUGCCGGAGAGGAAAGCGGAAUUCCUGGUGUAGAGGUGAAAUUCGUAGAUAAUCAGGAGGAACACCAGUGGCGAAGGCGGCUUUCUGGACGGUAACUGACGCUGAGACGCGAAGCGUGGGGAGCAAACAGG
rnacentral:rRNA from 1 species